UCCCCACAGCCGGUUCAUCGACGCCAUGGCUACGGAAACACAGAAGAUCCACAGAAAGACCGCCAGCAGGUUUUCGGGGUGUAGAAGAGAGACCGAGUAUUUACCUCGUUUGCGUUUACAGGGAGUAUAGAAUUCGAAGAUUGCCCUUUUAGUGUCAUGAAGAUUUCGUAUUUUAUUUUGCUUUGUGAAACUGCGAGAAGUUGUUGCUGCGUAGGGACGAAUGUGAGUUGUCUGCGUUUUGCACGUGUAUCGCUCUUUGUCAUGCUGAGGUCCGUUCUUCUCGCAGACACUGGCGUGCCGGGCAUUGUGUAUGGGUUAUGGAAGAAAGCAUGCCUCUCUGCGAGAAUAGACGCUUAUUUUGGGCGUUUGUUAGACAUCACAGGUAUAUGCAGUACUGUCUGAAAGGACGUCGACGGAGAAGGCAAGUCACACCGCCGGCACGGCCGACCCCAGCAUGACUGACGCAGCAGCCUUGUGAAUGAGCCGGACGUUCCAUAGCAGAGCACCAGUAACACUGUUUUUGACAGUGAGACUCACCAGGACAAGUCUGCGAUAUCUACGACCUUCUGGGAACGGGUAGGGAAAAUUGCCGACAACAGAGAAGAUAGAGUAGUUUCCUACGGGCGUAGGAUUUACAAGCCAAGCAGGUACGCAAGGUUUUGAGCUCGCCGCCAUUUUUGGCGUCUUGUGGAAUUUUCCAUUUUGAUUUGUCUUCCUACGUUGGCUGUUUUUUCUAUUGGAUCCCUCGGCUGUUUUCUUUCUUGUUCCUUCAUGAUUUUAUUUUCCUGUUUUCCCCUUUUGUAUGAUUAUGGUGUGUUUUGUUGGUCAGCAACUAUUCUGUCGUUCAUUUCGUUUAGCGACUCGUAAUUUGCAUAUGUUUGCGCAUCGCACAUAUUUCGCGUGCGCAGGUGUGAGUGAUUCUAUUUGGUAAAAUAGGCUUGGUAUAAUUAAUUUUGUGUUGUCUCAUUUGAGUUAGGUAUGUUGAUACAGCUGAGCCACCGCUAGGGCUGCCGUUUACCCCGUCUUUUCGCCAUAGGAGCCUUUAUGAAGCGGUGCAACGUUAUUCCAGUUUCCGCACGCUCGGAGCAGAGCCCGACCUUUUUUAUCAAGAAAGAGUCGGAGGCUUCAACUUAUCACUGGUAGCUCUAUGGUUAGGUUCGGCGAUUCUGGGCAUUGCAUUUUGUGGACCAGCCAGCAUUCAGCAACCCGAAAAGCUGAGGGACCAGGCCUCAAGACGCUCGGAUAGCUGUCAACCACUGCGGCAGUUUUCCUAAGGAAGCAUUCAGUACAACGCGCGUGGGUGUGAUGCGAGGACGUCUGAAAAUACCACCUCAAGUUCAGCAACUUAGACCCACCAGCCAGCUGAGAAGUACAUGCAGCAAACCAUAUGGGAGGACGGCGUACAGGCAGGGAUGGUGGCCAAGCAAAGGGAUCAAGAAGUUUAAAACCAGACUUAAAAUUCAGAAACAGAGAGACAACAGCCCCAGAAUUUUUUAGUCUCUCGUACGUUCGAAUUGUGACCUGAACUUCCAUUUUGCCUUAAAGUAACAGAAUAUGUUAGAGGGCGUCUGUUAAACGCUUUCUUCGUAAAAAAAAAAGAACAUCUAUACUGUCUUAGAGUUCACUGUAGGGAUGACCAUUGUAUUUGCUUGUUUUUGAUUAGAACACAUCAACGUCAGAAGUUGUCCAGGAAGUGACAUGUUUUUCGUUGUAAUGUUGAGAAACAACUAGUUAUUAAAUCGGUUUGCUGUUUUCGUCUGUCUCCAUUUUCUUUACUUGGUAGUACGUUCCAGCGCUUAUGGUUUAUAAGUAAUUUGAAAAGGAGCAUGUUUAAUAUAAAGUGCCAUGGAUAAAUACAGGUUCGUGUAUCUUGGGUAGUAAUUUGUUGAUAACUUGACGAGGCACGAAAGUUAAAAGGCAGCAGUUAUUUUGUCGUUUUAUCGAAACAUUUAGGCCGAAGUCUAAUUUUGUUUCGUAGGUAGAUCUGACAUGUUUAGCUGUAAUGAGUCCAAAGAUGACGCUAUAAAAGUUUCAGGUUAAUAUAGCCAGUAUUAAAAGGUCACUGCUUACUUUCUAACUGUCAGCCUUUAUUGGCACACACAGGGUUAAGGCUUAUUUAUAGAAGACAUGAAGGUUUUGCUGCACAUAAAAUAGAAUGUCUUUAAUUUAUCACAUAUGCUUUCCAACCUAGACCUAGUAAUAUAGGGUUGGCUACCCAGCGCAAAACGGCAUUGGCCAAAACUGGUUUCGUCAAGUAUGUAUCAAUUCAAGGGUUAGUGGAUUUUCCAGAGAGGUUGUUACCAGUGAAAAGCUAGAACAGUAGUGAGGAGGACUCUAACACUUCAAUACAGAUUUUUUGUUUAGAUACAAUUAUCCCAAUGUAUGUGACGUAGCUUGGUUUGCUAAACGGCAGUUGAAACAAAUAUUUGAAACCGAAUGUCGACAUUUUUUUUGUUUAUACCCGAGUUCUGAUAGGGAGAAAUGGGAUUAUAUUGGGUAUUUAUUCUUGCAAUAUGUCUGGGCCAUUUGUGUACGUCGAAUUUGGAGAGAGCCGUUAUACGAAAGUUACAUCUGCUGCGAUAAUAGACCAUUGUUUCGUACCGUGUCUAUUCUAUUUAUGGGGUUGGAAGUAUAUUUGGAGUUUGCAACAUCUGACAGAGGACACUUCUAGUAGUUUUUAGAAGAGGACCGCCGGCGAUGCAAGAAAUAAAAAGUAUUAGACUGCA